UACGUAGGGUGCGAGCGUUGUCCGGAAUUACUGGGCGUAAAGAGUUCGUAGGCGGUUUGUCGCGUCGUUCGUGAAAACUUGGGGCUUAACUCCAAGCGUGCGGGCGAUACGGGCAGACUUGAGUACUACAGGGGAGACUGGAAUUCCAGGUGUAGCGGUGAAAUGCGUAGAUAUCAGGAAGAACACCCGUGGCGAAGGCGGCUCUCUGGGACGGUACUGACGCUGAGACGCGAAAGCGUGGGGAGCGAACAGG
rnacentral:rRNA from 1 species